AAUAUCUCAGGACGUUGUUCAGCAACGGAAGAAGUACAUCGGGUGUGCUAAUUAAGCUUUACGGAUUGUUCUCGAUCCUUUCUAGCUACAAAGGGCUGCUUUUAGUUAAGUGCCGUUGUAUUGGAGUGGAAAAAUGGCUGCACUGCUCCCAGCUGUACACCCGCCUCUCAAUACAAAUGUACAAUGCGUCAGAAGAGCGACGCAAAAUAGGCGUCAGAUUUGCUGUUCAGCUGAUUCAUCCGUGAGGUGAGUUGCAGGAAUGUUGGAUUCCAGAUCAAUUUUCGAGGAAUAUAUAAAUAUGAUUAAAGAUGGAUGUAUCAGCACAAUGUGCAUCAUAUACCGAUAAUAAACGUGUACUGCACUCAUCGCGCAGUGUGAAGAGUAAUCAGCAGGUCAGGAGAGGUCUUCUGUUGGGACUGGCCAGCUGCGUGCUUGUGCCCACUCAGAAGGCUGUAGCAGGCGAGACGCUUUGCAAUGCCUAAUUCCUUUCAUGCGUUCUUUAACCCAAUCAAAGGGGGCUCCAUCGUUGUCACAGA
rnacentral:lncRNA from 1 species